UACGUAGGUGGCAAGCGUUGUCCGGAAUUAUUGGGCGUAAAGCGCGCGCAGGCGGUCCUUUAAGUCUGAUGUGAAAGCCACGGCUCAACCGUGGAGGGUCAUUGGAAACUGGGGGACUUGAGUGCAGGAGAGAAGAGUGGAAUUCCACGUGUAGCGGUGAAAUGCGUAGAGAUGUGGAGGAACACCAGUGGCGAAGGCGACUCUUUGGCCUGUAACUGACGCUGAGGCGCGAAAGCGUGGGGAGCGAACAGG
rnacentral:rRNA from 1 species